UAGUUGCUGCCGAAAUUUGAAGGAAGCCAUAGCUAAGGUUUCUUUGCUUUCUCAAGCUCAUAGUAAGUGCAUCCUAGCCCCAUUUUUAAUGUUCUUCGCAUUUUUGGAAUCCUCGUAACUCGGUUUAGCUUAUUCUAGCAAUAAUUCGUGUUAGGGCUCAUAUUUGGAAAAAUACCCAUAGGUGAAAUGUGUUUAUUUUGCUGUUUUAUGGUGGAAUAUGAAGCUAUAAAUUAUGUUAAACAACUUUUGCUAAGCGAUUUUAAGCGAAAACGGGUAAAUAGGCAUAAUCGGUAAAAAUAAUUAUUGUUCAUAAGUGUAUGUUAGAGUGAGAAUUUGAUGUUGCCAUAGAAGGGAAAAAUGUUCAGCAUGUCAUAAAACCUAAGAAUAAGUGAUGAAGUUUAAUUUCCGAGCUUGGGGACAAAAGUGUAAUUAUGCAAAAGUUUGGGGGCAAAAUUGUAAUUUUCAAAAAGUUGGGUGGUGGAUUAUUUUAAUGAAUGUGAACAUUAAAUGAGUUAAAUUUGCUAUUAUAGAUCAAGAAAGACAUGAAGAUUAUCUCAAACGAGGAAAAGAAAAGAUAGUGGAGUGAAGUGCAAAAUUACGAUAUUUUGCACCGAGUGACUUCCGACAACUCGGAAAUUUGGAACGAAGUCAGACAAUCAUCCACACUAUCCUUCACACUUGGGGUAUUUUGCUACUAUCGUUCCGGAAAAUUAUGGCAUGUAAAGACGACCUAUGAAAUAUGGAAUCAUCAUGUAAAUAUAUGUUAUGGUUUGAUUUAAAAUGUGGUG
rnacentral:lncRNA from 1 species